rnacentral:tRNA from 1 species
GGGCGCAUAGCUCAGCGGUAGAGCACCUGCCUUACAAGCAGGUGGUCGCAGGUUCGACCCCUGCUGCGCCCACCC